AUUGAACGCUGGCGGCAGACUUAACACAUGCAAGUCGAGCGGGGUGAUGGGGCUUGCACUAUCACUUAGCGGCGGACGGGUGAGUAAUGCUUAGGAAUCUGCCUAUUAGUGGGGGACAACAUCUCGAAAGGGAUGCUAAUACCGCAUACGUCCUACGGGAGAAAGCAGGGGAUCACUUGUGACCUUGUGCUAAUAGUUGAGACUAAGUCGGAUUAGCUAGUGGGUGGGGGACAGGCCUACCAAGUCGACGAUCUGUAGCGGGUCUGAGAGGAUGAGCCGCGACAAUGGGACUGAGACACGGCCGAGACUCCUACGGGAGGCAGCAGUGGAGAAUAUUGGACAAUGGGGGGAACCCUGAUCCAGCCAUGACGCGUGUGUGAAGAAUGCCUUAUGGUUGUAAAGCACUUUAAGCGAGGAGGAGGCUCUUUUGGUUAAUACCCAAGAUGAGUGGACGUUACUCGCAGAAUAAGCACCGGCUAACUCUGUGCCAGCCGCCGCGGUAA
rnacentral:rRNA from 1 species